UUUGACCUCAAAUCAGGUAGGAUUACCCGCUGAACUUAAGCAUAUCAAUAAGCGGAGGAAAAGAAACUAACAAGGAUUCCCCUAGUAACUGCGAGUGAAGCGGGAAAAGCUCAAAUUUAAAAUCUGGCGGUCUUCGGCCGUCCGAGUUGUAGUCUGGAGAAGUGCUUUCCGCGCUGGACCGUGUACAAGUCUCUUGGAACAGAGCGUCAUAGAGGGUGAGAAUCCCGUCUUUGACACGGACUACCAGUGCUUUGUGAUGCGCUCUCAAAGAGUCGAGUUGUUUGGGAAUGCAGCUCAAAAUGGGUGGUAAAUUCCAUCUAAAGCUAAAUAUUGGCGAGAGACCGAUAGCGAACAAGUACCGUGAGGGAAAGAUGAAAAGCACUUUGGAAAGAGAGUUAAACAGUACGUGAAAUUGCUGAAAGGGAAACGAUUGAAGUCAGUCGCGUUAGCCAGGACUCAGCCUUGUUUUUACUUGGUGCAUUUUCUGGUUGACGGGCCAGCAUCGAUUUUGACCGCCGGAAAAAGAUUGGGGGAAUGUGGCACCUUCGGGUGUGUUAUAGCCCUCAGUCACAUACGGCGAUUGGGAUCGAGGACCGCAGCACGCCUUUAUGGCCGGGGUUCGCCCACGUUCGUGCUUAGGAUGCUGGCGUAAUGGCUUUAAACGACCCGUCUUGAAACACGGACCAAGGAGUCUAACAUGCCUGCGAGUGUUUGGGUGGAAAACCCGAGCGCGUAAUGAAAGUGAAAGUUGAGAUCCCUGUCGCGGGGAGCAUCGACGCCCGGACUUGAACUUCGGUGAUAGAUCUGCGGUAGAGCAUGUAUGUUGGGACCCGAAAGAUGGUGAACUAUGCCUGAAUAGGGUGAAGCCAGAGGAAACUCUGGUGGAGGCUCGUAGCGAUUCUGACGUGCAAAUCGAUCGUCAAAUUUGGGUAUAGGGGCGAAAGACUAAUCGAACCAUCUAGUAGCUGGUUCCUGCCGAAGUUUCCCUCAGGAUAGCAGAAACUCGUAUCAGAUUUAUGUGGUAAAGCGAAUGAUUAGAGGCCUUGGGGUUGAAACAACCUUAACCUAUUCUCAAACUUUAAAUAUGUAAGA
rnacentral:rRNA from 1 species